GUAGUCUCGCACAGAUGCAUAUCAAUAAGCGGAGGAAAAGAAACUAACAAGGAUUCCCCUAGUAACGGCGAGUGAAGCGGGAAGAGCUCAAAUUUGAAAUCUUAAAGGGUUUCCCUUUACGAAUUGUAGUUUAAAGAAGUGUUUUCUGUUGAGGUUUUGGUAAAAGUUCUUUGGAAUAGGACAUCAUAGAGGGUGAGAAUCCCGUAUUUGACCUUUACUUUCAACUUUGUGAUACACUUUCAAAGAGUCGGAUUGUUUGGGAAUGCAGUCCAAAAUGGGUGGUAAAUUUCAUCUAAAGCUAAAUAUUGGCGAGAGACCGAUAGCGAACAAGUAGCCGUGAGGGAAAGAUGAAAAGAACUUUGAAAAGAGAGAUAAACAGUACGUGAAAUUGUCAAAAGGGAAGCGUUUGACACCAGUGUUGUUUUUCUGAAAAUCAAUUAAAGAACUGUUUAUGCUAAGUUGUUUAGACUUUAUCAGCUAUCUGCUUAGUUUUGAGCUUUUCUUUAAUGCACUUUUCAGUUAACAAGUCAACAUCAAUUUCUUUUGCUGUAAAAAAGCUUGAGGAAGGUGGCUUGAGAUUCGUCUUAAGUGUUUAUAGCCUCUUGCCUAUGCAGUCGGAGAGAUUGAGGUCUGCAGCGUAGAUCCUUCGGGGCUAAAUGCAUUUGUGCUAAGUUAUAGCAUUUCAUAGACAACUUGUUGACUAUGAUUUGUCUUGUAGCUUACUCGCUUAUGUUAUUUUACCUACGCUUAGGAUGUUGACAGCAGUAUAGACUGU
rnacentral:rRNA from 1 species